GGCUCGCUUGAGCCCAACCUCCCACCCGUGUUUACUGUUACCGCGUUGCCUCGGCGGGCCCACUGGGGCCUUGGUCCCGGUCGCCGGGGGGCAUCUGCCCCCGGGCCCGCGCCCGCCGAAGCGCUCCCGAACCCUGUCUGAACAGUGAGUCUGAGUACGAUUGAAUCAUUAAAACUUUCAACAACGGAUCUCUUGGUUCCGGCAUCGAUGAAGAACGCAGCGAAAUGCGAUAAGUAAUGUGAAUUGCAGAAUUCCGUGAAUCAUCGAAUCUUUGAACGCACAUUGCGCCCCCUGGCAUUCCGGGGGGCAUGCCUGUCCGAGCGUCAUUUCUGCCCUCCAGCACGGCUGGGUGUUGGGUGCUGUCCCCCCGGGGACACACCCCAAAGGCAGUGGCGGCGCCGCGUCGGGUCCUCGAGCGUAUGGGGCUUUGUCACCCGCUCGGGAAGGACUCGCCGGCGCUGGUCUUCCUCUUAGGCGGUCCUUCGGGGCUGUCUUCCUUCCGGUUGACCUCGGAUCAGGUAGGGUUACCCGCUGAACUUAAGCAUAUCAUA
rnacentral:rRNA from 1 species